AGCAGAGGAGGCGGCAUGAGCGAGGCUGGCGAGGCCACCACCCUCCCGCAGGCUCCGGCAGAGGCGUCUGCCGCGGUCUCCCAGGAUCCCGCGCCCCAGGCCACGGUCCCCAUGCCUGCCACCCUUGCCGCAGGAAACCCAGGUGGCGACACGGGCACCACGGCCCCCACCUCUGCAGUCCCCGCUGGCAGCGAAGACGCAGAGAAAAAAGUUCUCGCCACCAAAGUCCUUGGCAUUGUCAAAUGGUUCAAUGUCAGAAAAGGAUAUGGAUUUAUAAAUCGAAAUGACACCAAAGAAGAUGUAUUUGUACAUCAGACUGCCAUCAAGAAGAAUAACCCACGGAAAUAUCUGCGCAGUGUAGGAGAUGGAGAAACUGUAGAGUUCGAUGUGGUUGAAGGAGAGAAGGGUACAGAGGCAGCCAAUGUGACUGGCCCAGAUGGAGUUCCUGUAGAAGGGAGUCGCUAUGCUGCUGAUCGGCGCCGUUACAGACGUGGGUACUAUGGCAGACGCUGUGGACCUCCCCGGAAUUAUGUUGCGGAGGAGGAAGAAGAGAAAGGGAAUGGCAGCAGUGAAAGAUUUGAGCCCCCUGCCACUGACCGGCAGUUCUUUGGGGCCCGGAAUCAGCUGCGCCGCCCUCAGUACUGGCAGCGGCGGUUCCCGCCUUACCGCGUGGGACAAACCUUUGACCGUCGCUCACGGGUCUUUCCCCGUCCCGACAGAAUGCAAGCUGGUCAGAUUGGAGAGAGUAAGGACCGGAUCCCAGAGAGAGCACAACUUCAGAGACCGGUUCAUCGAAAUGCAACCUAUCGCCCAAGGUACCAUCGGGGACUUCUUCGCCCACGACCUGCCCCUGCUGUUGAGGAGGCCGAAGAUAAAGAGAAUCAGCAAGCAGCCAAUGGUCCAAACCAGCCAUCUGCUCGCCAUGGAUACCGGCGUCCCUACAACUAUAGGCGUCGCCCCGGUCCUCCUAACGUUCCCUCGCAAGAUGGCAGAGAGACCAAGGCAGGUGACGCCCCAACUGAGAAGCCCGCUCCUGCCACCGAGCAGAGCAGUGCUGAGUAACACCAGGCUCCCCGGGCACCUUCACCAUCUGCAGAGUGACCUAAAGAAUUAAUGACCAUUGAAAAGUAUAACAAAGCAAAAACCAUACAACACACAACCUUACCAACACCAAA